GAAAAGUUUUCCUACUCCGACGCGAGGCUCCCGGCCUGAGAAGAGGCGCCUCGGUGCGCCAGACCCCGACCCCGGAGCCCCCUUCCACCUCGGACCCUCAGUCCCCAGGCAGCGGACCCUCCUCCUUGGAGCCCCUGACCCCGCUUUCAUCUCUGACCCCUCUACCCCUGGAGCCCCUGACCCGCGAAACCCCCUUUCAUCUCGGAGCCCUGACCUCCUUGGACCUCCACCCACGCGAACCGUCUGUCCCUGGGCUAGGGAAUCUCUCUGCCUCCGCCUUGGAGCCUCCCAUUACCGGGCCGCGAAGACCCUGGCCCGGGGACUGUCUCGGGGCCGGGGUAGCUGCCUUGAGGAUUUCUCCUUGGACCAAGAUGACUGAUGGAAAACUCUCCACCUCUACAAAUGGCGUAGCCUUCAUGGGUAUUCUGGAUGGUCGACCAGGAAACCCCCUUCAGAACCUGCAACACGUCAAUCUCAAGGCGCCCCGACUCCUCUCCGCGCCUGAGUACGGGCCCAAGCUGAAACUCAGGGCUUUAGAAGA
rnacentral:lncRNA from 1 species